UUGAAGAUGCGACGGCAGGAGAGGGAAGAGGGCCCGCUUAGGCGUCGGCCAUUAUCGGCAGGCGUGGGUAAAGGGCUGAUGACCACUGGCCUGGAAAUGGAUUGAGUGAUAGAGGGAGCUCCAAUACACCAUUGAAAACUGUGUUGGGGGCCCUGGACCUGGAGCGGCUCCUCCUCCGAGGUUGUGACCAUCUGGGAUCGUCCCCUGAAAGGAAGCGUCUU